rnacentral:lncRNA from 1 species
CCCCCCCGGAAGAGAAUCAUAGGUGCUGCGGCCUUUUUCGGGAAUGUGACCAGGAAAGAGAGAAACCGACGAGGCCGAUACACACAUUAAAAAAUGAAAAAGUAACCAUCACCGCGAAGGAUUUUCCUCAAAAGACAAAUCAGCAAGAAGUAUGUCCAAUCCCGGGGGCCCAUCGCCCCUCCAAAUUAAUGGAGGGGUCGGAUAGAAAUUUAUAGAAAUGUUACUUUUGUGAAACCCCUAGCCGACGAGAGACUCUCACCGGUUUCGAAGUUCCAUUUUCACAUUCCGACCUGGGAUGUUAUGACUCCUCGGCCCACACUGCGAACGCGUCCCACACCCCCUCCAAGUUUAUCAGGAAUUCACCUGAGCUUGCAAUAGAGAUCGAGCGCGGUGGCGGUCACAGUGGUGGUCGACCAGGCGGAGCUUGAACGGCCUCGGCAAACACUUCUCCCCACCCUCCCAAAUGAAUGAGAGAAUGGCUUGACAAUACCGAGGCCAUCGCCCCCCGCCAAAAAUGGUUACUAGCUCUUGGGACUCGCUGCGACGUUACGCGUAUCGGCACAAGACCAACCCUCUUUUUCCAGUCGCCCGCGCACCAAAAAAAAUUUUGGCAGCGGGACUCACAAUCCUUGACAGCCAGCUCACCAUAUAAUACUCGGCGACCCUCCGCGGGACCUCCUCAGAGGGUCGCGUCGCCGGGAAACUAACCCCCACUCCUCACUGAUCCAAGGUAACACGCCAGAAGUAUCCAGGUAACCCCAGUAGUAUCCAGGUAUCCCCCCUGCGAACGUCGGUACUGGGCUCAAAGAAGGCAGCGAGCAGUCGGGACCCGUAGGCACCGAGCAACCGUCACCCCCUCACGACUUUUCCCGAGACGCUUCAGAGGAACCCUUCCCCCACAUAGUACUCUCUGUGGGAUUCGGCAGGCCCCCCCGUCCUACUGCACUAAGGAAGUUCCGAGACACACUUUUUUUUGUGGAAGACCACCCACCCUCCCUGUCCUGCCUGCUAUCCCCGCCGCGACUCCUGGUCCCGGCCCUCCUCCCCGACUUCCUCCUUGUCCCGCUGCGAGUCCCGGACCUCCUCCCCCACUACCUACUCCCGCCGCGAGUCCCAGUCCCGGCCUUCCUCCUCCUCCUCCUCUUCCCUAGUCCCGGCGCGAGUCCCGGACCUCCUCCCCCACUUCCUAGUCCCGUCGCGAGUCCCGGACCUCCUCCCCCUCUUCCUAGUCCCGGCGCGAGUCCCGGACCUCCUCCUUCUCUUCCUUGUCCCGCCGCGAGUCCCAGUCCCGUCGCGAGUCCCGGACUUCCUCCUUCUCUUCCUUGUCCCGCCGCGACUCCCUAGUCCCGUGGCGAGUCCCGGACUUCCUCCUCCUCUUCCUUGUCCCGCCGCGACUCCCUAGUCCCGGCGCGAGUCCCGGACUUCCUCCUCCUCUUCCUUGUCCCGCCGCGACUCCCUAGUCCCGGCGCGAGUCCCAGUCCCGUCGCGAGUCCCGGACUCCUCCUCCUCUUCCUUGUCCCGCCGCGACUCCCUAGUCCCGGCGCGAGUCCCAGUCCCGUCGCGAGUCCCUUGUCCCGCCGCGACUCCCUAGUCCCGGCGCGAGUCCCAAGUCCCGGCGCGAGUCCCAGUCCCGUCGCGAGUCCCGUGUCCCGCCGCGACUCCCUAGUCCCGGCGCGAGUCCCAGUCCCGUCGCGAGUCCCGGACUUCCUCCUCCUCUUCCUUGUCCCGCCGCGACUCCCUAGUCCCGGCGCGAGUCCCAGUCCCGUCGCGAGUCCCGGACUUCCUCCUCCUCUUCCUUGUCCCGCCGCGACUCCCUAGUCCCGGCGCGAGUCCCAGUCCCGUCGCGAGUCCCGGACUUCCUCCUCCUCUUCCUUGUCCCGCCGCGACUCCCUAGUCCCGGCGCGAGUCCCAGUCCCGUCGCGAGUCCCGGACUUCCUCCUCCUCUUCCUUGUCCCGCCGCGAGUCCCGACCUCUUGUCCCGCUCCCUUGCCCAAGUCCCGACUCCUGGCUGUCUCGACUCCUCGUUGGCCGCCCAGUCUUCCGCAUAGGUGGAAAUAAAUAAAUAAAUCAUUUUUUAAAAAAUCAAUUUUAAAAUUAACUCCCUGUCUCGACUCCUUGCUGGCCGCCCAGUCUUGCGCCUAGACAGAAAUAUAAAUAAAAAAUAAAAAUAAAUUGGUGAAUUAAAAAUAUUAAAGUAAUUUAAUUAACUGGAAUAAGGUAGAAAAAUAAAAGGCAGAAGAAUACUAAAUUGAUUUUUUCAAGUGCCACGUGUUACCUUGCUGAUGUGGCUGCCACGUGGUAGUCCAUGUCAUGUCAAAAAUCCACUAAAUCGUUUACAUGUCACUUUGGAGAUAAAUUUGUGUGUGUGCAAUCAAUUGGUUGUACAAAUAUGUUAAUGACUUGCUAACUAAUGCAUCGUACAGGUAAUCAUUGCCCACUAACUAAUCCAUCACCACUGAAACUUAAUGUCUUCAAUUCUUCAUCCUUCACACUCCACAUC